rnacentral:rRNA from 1 species
AACGAACGCUGGCGGCAUGCCUAACACAUGCAAGUCGAACGAGACCUUCGGGUCUAGUGGCGCACGGGUGCGUAACGCGUGGGAACCUGCCCUUAGGUUCGGAAUAACUCCCCGAAAGGGGUGCUAAUACCGGAUAAUGUCUUCGGACCAAAGAUUUAUCGCCUUUGGAUGGGCCCGCGUUGGAUUAGCUAGUUGGUAGGGUAAAAGCCUACCAAGGCGACGAUCCAUAGCUGGUCUGAGAGGAUGAUCAGCCACACUGGGACUGAGACACGGCCCAGACUCCUACGGGAGGCAGCAGUGGGGAAUAUGGGACAAUGGGCGAAAGCCUGAUCAAGCAAUGCCGCGUGAGUGAUGAAGGCCUUAGGGUUGUAAAGCUCUUUUACCCGGGAUGAUAAUGACAGUACCGGGAGAAUAAGCUCCGGCUAACUCCGUG